rnacentral:misc_RNA from 1 species
UUUCACACAGUUAUCGUAUUUUUAUUUAUUUAUUACAAUAAUAUACAAUUUUCAUUUAACAUAUUACGUCAAAUGUAUAUUUGUACAUUACAAGUAUACUUAAUUUUACAUUAAUAGUGUGAUCAAAAUAAAACCAAGCUUACGGGUCAGAGUUAACUUUUAUAAUUGACGUAUUAAAAUCCACCACAUUUUUUUAUAGGAAACAAUCGCUCUUUUCUUCAAAUAGUACCCGAAAGUG